rnacentral:lncRNA from 1 species
UAGUCGUCCUGUUCAUAUAUAUUAAUCAUCUUAAUCCUUUAUAACAUGCCAAUAGCUAUGUCCUAGCGAUGGUGUUCAGAGUGCUUGUGACAACCAUUUAUCAACAAGAGCGAAAAGAAGUGAAAUGAAAUAAAGUUAUUACGUGUUUGCAUCGAGGAUGGGAAAAUAUCAAAAGUAAAAUAAAAGUACUCUCUUUAUCUUUGCUGUUUGAUGUUCCAUCUCUUUAUCUUGUUAAUCAAUCUUCUCAUGAAAUUGUUCAACAAAACCCACAUCAAAAUGAAAUGAAAAAAGCAAAAAAUUCUUAAACUAAUACCCAAAAGAAAUAGACUAAAACACAGCCCCGGCCCUAUCUCACAAUGCAAAGACCAAAUUAAUCAUCUGAUUACCUCUCCUAUCCCAUAAUCCUAAACAAUAGAAACCUUUAAAAUCACAAACAUAAAACAGCAUAACUUACAACCAUCUGUUUCCAUGAUUCUAAAGUAUUUCACGCAGUGCAAAGUGAAGAAAUUAGAUAUGCAAAGGACAAUGGAAAAGGAUUUGCCUGCAUUUAAUUCCAAACACUGCAGAAGACACCUAUAGAAACUUGAUUACAAAGCAGACAAGAAUAGUGCUUACUCCUAACAUUCUUCUCAGAGUUAACUUAAUUAAACACUCCAUGGAGUUUAAUAGAAAAGCAAAAUCCGUAUCUAAUCACAAAAUUGCUAAAGCAAGAACAACAUUCACUCAAUCAUUUGAAUCAAGAAUGUGCAACCUCAUAAUCACUGCUCAAUCUAUCUCAUAUCAGUAUCCUUCUUCCAACUACAUGGCAACCACUCAUUUACCCAGUCUACGAAAUGAUGAAACAUCAUAGUAUCCUCAUUUACGUAAUGAUCCACAGGCUACUCCCCAAGAUAAAAGAAUACUUGACAACAAUGUCGAAGUGAUAUCACAGCAACUCAAAGUCUAUCCAAAAAUGAUCCUCAUAGCAUGACUCACAAAUUAACUUCAAAAUAAAGUAGAAUGACCCAUUAAGAUUUCCGUCAUUGUUAUGUUAAAUAAAUACCACACUAUAUCAUGUAGUAAACGCAUAUCUACAAAUGCUCAUCUUCAAAUUAAUCUUGUGAAUCAGAUGUGAACAAUUUCAUCACAUUACACAAAUUUAUCUCAAGUCGACGUUCCUUAAUUAAAUGAAUCAAAUCGGGGAUUUUGCGAAUCAAUUACCAGUACGUACAAACCUUCUCGGCUAAAAUCAUUGAAUCAACUUGAUUCUUGGGUUUUCCGCUCCUUUCCUUCUACCUGCUUUUCAGUAUUCUUCUUCACUAAACUGAUCCCCACUCAGCACAAAACACAAGAAAAGCCUCCCCUGUAAACUGACUGUAAUCCUCCCCCUUUCAAAACCCGAACACUCCCUCCUUCCAGAGUUCCAAAAUCUCUGUCCCUUUUCCCUAAUAGAGCUCUGCCUAUGUUUAUUCGAAACCUUAACUUAAAAACUGUAAUUCCCUAUCCCCUUCCUUCAAAAAUCAACCCCUCAACUCACUGUGUUACCCCAAAAUCCAUAAGAAGCCCAAAAUCCCUAAUCUUCUUUUGGUAUUAUUUUUAUUAUUAUUUUUUUUUCUGAGAAGUCCCUACUCCCCCUUUUAAACCCCUUUUCACUCAAUCCAAGCCGCUCCUUGAAGCAGUUGCCAACCAUCCUACAAGUCGUGCUCCAACCACCAAUCCUUUCCCACCAGCUUAUCCUCUCUUUACUCGAUAUCUUCUGAUUCCACCUGAAGCUCUCGCACUUUUUUCUUCCUCUCCCUUCCAGGUCGCUCUCCAGUUGAAACAAACUCAGAUUCCCUUCCAAUUUACCACUCUAACUUGUGCAUUCACCGGCUUCUUGUGCACUCAACUUCAAUAAUCAUCAUGGGAAGGAUACCAAUAGCCUCGCGUUCAUCAUCUCAACCCGGUUUCUAGCUUAAAUCUCGUGCGGGUGUUUCUGGUGUGCAUGUGGUUCUUUUGCCUCUCCAUUGAAAAUGCAGCUUUUAGUUCUAUUCGGGACGAAAAGAUGUUUAUCCGUGGCUGGGCCAGAUUAGAACCCAAUAUGGAGCCGGUAAAAUUGGUUUGGGUGGUAUUGUGUUUCUUUU